rnacentral:rRNA from 1 species
UACGUAGGGGGGCAAGCGUUGUCCGGAAUCAUUGGGCGUAAAGCGCGUGUAGGCGGUUCGGUAAGUCUGCUGUGAAAGUCCAGGGCUCAACCCUGGGAUGCCGGUGGAUACUGUCGGGCUAGAGUACGGAAGAGGCGAGUGGAAUUCCUGGUGUAGCGGUGAAAUGCGCAGAUAUCAGGAGGAACACCAAUGGCGAAGGCAGCUCGCUGGAACGGUACUGACGCUGAUGCACGAAAGCGUGGGGAUCAAACAGG